UUCUACCCUCUGGACAACAUACCUGUUGGAUGUACUGCCUUGUCUUACAUGAUGAAGCAGCCCAGACCGAAUUUGCCUUAAGACAGAUAGGAGUAACGCCUUCUGAGUUAUGUAAUUGGGCAGGAAGGAUGGAUUGUUCUCGGGCACCCACAUCCAAUGGAACUAUCUAGAAGCCACACAAAACAUGUUUUAGACAGCCGGCGUUCCAUUUCUCUUUGUAGAGUGCCUAGCAAAGACCUCAAAUCGCAGGAUCAAGACAUGGAGACUGAAUGACAUAUGGAGAAAAAAAAUCGACACACAAUUGUCAACACACUACAAGGCAGCAGGGUGACAAAAGCCCGAGAUGAUAAACAGGCGAAAUUUUGCAUAAUUAGGUCUUCGAAUUUCUUCAGUUGUGAAAUAUGUGUGACUCACGUGGCUGGCGAGGCUGGGCGUGGGUUCGGAAACGCUCACCUCUCUUAACCUGAGUGUGGGAGAAGCCAUCCUGGCUCCUUGUUUGCCAGGCCCCUGCUGUUUGCUCUGCCGGGUAUUAUUAACCAGCAGGUUUGACAGGAGUUCCUUGUUUUUCCGCACUGAUAUGAUUUAUUUUCUGAGUUGCCUGAACAAACAGGUUGUUUGGGCCAUUGUGUGGAGCAGCCUGGAGGUGGUUUUUGGAGAAGAGAGAGCUCUCUUCUGAGGAAGAAGUAUUACCCGGUUGCAGUAACUGUUGAGAAGUGAUUGUCUGGAAGUCCACAUGUCGGUGAAGCCAUGGAGGGCGGGGAAGGAACCCAUCCGAUUGAUGUGAAUGGUGGAGUGUCACUCAUUGGACCAGCUGCCCCUGAAAAAAUUCUCAGCCAACACUUCCAAACCUCUCUCCUCGCCCAGCCACCCCUACGAGAUUGGGAGGGAUGCGGUUUACACCGGAACCUUUGGCGCUUAUUAUGAAGACAUCAAAAAAUAUUUUAUCUGUGGGCAGUGAAAUGAAGUAAGAAACGAGGCUGUUUGUAGGAAAGCAUCAGCCAUUAAAUGAUCAAACCUGGAAUCAGAGCGCCCGGCUCUGGCAUCAUUAGCUUCAUGGCCUCAGACCCUCUCUGAGUCUCAGCCCUCGCCUGUAAAGGGCUGCCAGGGCAUUUAAAUAACUUGCUUGAAACAGCUGGGAUAGCGUCUAGUUCUCGAAGUGUGGUCCCCAAACCAGCAGCAUCAGCAGCAUCUGAGAACUUGUUAGAAACGCACCUUUCCAGCCCCACCUCACCUGCUGAAUCAGAGCGGGCAGGGAGGAAGCGACAGCAAUCUGUUUUUAUAAGCCCUCCAGAUGAGAAAACCGAGACUGAGAGGUGAAUGAGUUGCCCAGGUCAUGUAGGAACACAGUGGAAGUGUGAGGACCAGAGCCCAGCUCCUCCAACCUGCGUCCAGUGCUCCUCUGUGCUACUCGAUUGACCGCAGGUCCCAGUCUGUCCGUGAGACCUCGAGGCAUUGAUGACUGCAGAGCAUGGAGCCACUUUGGUUCACUCUCUUGUUUUAUGAUGGAAACUUAAUCAGUUUGUGAGCUCAUUCUCCACCUGUCUUCAACUUCUGUCUCUACAUCACAUCCAGCUGGUGGUGUGCUGGAUCUCCUUGGAGAAGACAAGACACGCAGUGCCCUGUGCCCAUGCAGGGGACUACACUUCAUCUACCACUGGCCCCCAGUUAAUCUGAGUGGACGGUAACUUCCUUCCAUGCUAAAAAGUGGAAGAUGAUGCCUGUGUCUUACUAUUGAUGUAAACAAGAUGCCAUGGGUGGACAGCGUCCCUUGAGAGCGAUGCAGAAGGGCCUGAGGGGGUUGGUAAGGAGUUACUCUCCCAGGCUCCUUCUUCUUCCCAACUUGUGCAUAAGCUGAGCCCUUAAGGUGCCCAAGGACGUCAGCUUACUCCACAGCAGGUGCAAACGUUGAAGAUCACAGCAAGCGUCGACCUCCAAUAGCUAUCUAAGUUCCACGAUCUGUCAACCUGACCUUGUCCUUUCUUCAGUGUUUACACGGUCCUGGAAAAGAAAAUGUUUCCAUUACAAAAAGGAAAUUACAAAACAAUGUACCCUGUAUAGAGUAAUUAAAACAUUGCAUCAUUUUUUCGAUAGUUUAACAAUUUCAAUCUUAAACGUUGGCCGGGGACAUUUAACGUCAUGUUAAAUGUGAACAUUUUGGGUCUUUUAUUUUAGGAUUGACUUUGGAGAGAGUAAGAUAUGGAAAAGGAGUGUUUCCAUCCAGUUGUGGCCUUUUGGUAUAUACCUAAAUUUUGUAGAUCUUAUGUGACAAUUGAUUUCUGCUCUAUCUAGCUUGUAUGAUGAGAUAAGUUAUUUUUAAAGGCACAUCUGUUUUCUAAUUUAAGCCUAAUUUGGGUUUCUUAAGAAUUGUCCUUUAAGAAUUGCCCUUCUUUCAGUGUCAUAUCUAUCCAACAGUUGUUAUAUCCAGAAUAGAAGAAAAAAGGAUCUUAAAGGCAAGAUUGUUACUUGAAAAUGCAUGAAGGCUCCCUGUGGCCUGCCAUUGCUUUGCAGACAAGAGGGUGGUGUGAGAUGCCCUCUCAUUCUAAAAGGCUCUCUGGAGGGGGCUGUCAUUCACAGCUACCUGGGUGGGCUGGCGCAGGACACACACUGCGACACAGACCAUGUAGGAAAGAAGAACUACGGCUGGAGCAUGCACUGCCAGCAUUUCAACCAUCUCCGACUGCCAAAGCUUUCCCAGAGAAAAGACUGAACACAUUUUUCAGCAGUGGCUGUGAUGCUGCUUAUUUCGCUUUUUAAAACUAGCCAUUGUUGGUGCCUGCUCUGAGCAACUCCGUAACUUACUGGAAGUGUCCCCAGGCUAGUCACGCAGCCCACCCUCCUUUGUAUGCACUCCAGGAGGACAAGGGGCGUGUCUGUGGUUUUGGGGGCUGAGUCACUGUGGUCCUUACGCUCUGAGCCAUCAGCAGUGGGUGACCAGGAAGAUGUCAGCAUCCCAUCAUUGUGUGGUUUUCAGAAACUAGGAAACACUGAAAUCUUGUUUAAUCUACAAAUGAAAACAAAAGAUUUUUACAUUUCUUUUUCUUCUGGAAGGUGUGUACAUGUGGGUGUGACUGUCCUCUUAUAUAAGGACACACACUCCUGGUAAUUCAAAUAGGUGUGGGGAGACUCAAGAAGGGUGUCCUCUUAAGAUCUAAGUGGAAUGAGUAGCAGUUGUCAGAUGCAGGUCAUCACCAAGGCAACCUAGGGGUGAAGUAAGUGAAAAUCUGCCUGCUGAUGGCUUCACAGGCCCAUCAGUUUACUCACUUCAGUUGAAGGAUGACCUGUGGCCUUAUCAGCCCUUAGUUUUUCCUCUUCAAAUACAGUAUUUUUAAUAACUUAUAUAAUUUUGUAUGGUGUUGAAAUGAAAAUUAUAGGCAUAAAAAUUAGAUCUAUAAAAAUUAUUUGGAAUUCUGCACAUCGGAUUUGUCUCUUCUCUCCUACUCUUUUAUUGACGUAUUUGUUUAAUCAUUUCUUUAGAUCACUAUGGACGCCUGGAUAUUGGUUUUAUACUUUGAGUUAUAAUCCAAUUCUGCUUGAUUUAUUUUCUUGCUCAAAUUGUUCCAGCUUUGGUCACUGCGAGCUUUUUCACGUGGUUCCUGUGUCCCUUUGAUAUAUCCCCACAACUGUGGAGUUUUUAGCUCUUGUUACUGUUGGGGUGUUUUUGAGCACUUCCUUACUUUCUGGCGCUACAAGAUGCUGCAGGCUCAUCUGGUGCAUUUCCUGCCCCGAUCCUAAAAUCAGCCAUUUCUCUAAGGAGUCUUAGGUCCUUUGACUGGAGAGUGAUAUUGGAAACCAUCUCUUGCUACUGGAGCAUUGGUGCUUUUAGGCCUUGUUUUGUUUUACACAAAACAAGGAAAUAUAUGUGUGUGUGCUAAGUAUAUGUACACAUAUCUAUAAAUGUUUUUAUAUGUAUUCAUUUGUAUCUUUAUUAAGCUAACCAUGAGUUCAUACUGAUGUCUCCAAUCCAGUACCGUGUGGAUCAUUCCAAUCCAGUACCACGUGGAUCAUUCCAAUCCAGUACCAUAUGGGUCAUUCCAUUCCAGUACCACAUGGAUCAUUCUAGCCUUCCCCUUUGCUCAUCUCUAACCUUCCACUCCAAAAGUGAGAUACUUGGCUCCCAACACCCACCGUCCAUUUACUUAUUGUUCAUUCCAGUGUACACAUGCAGGGGUUUCCAAAUGAGCCCAUACUCCUGUGGGACACAACUUAACAAGUAGAGCAUAGUGAGCACCGACAGUCCUUUUGUCUUUAGUCUUAUAGUCUCCACUUAUUUCCCAUGUUACUUAGAUCAGCAACUUCCCCUGCCUUCUUCGAUAAGAUUAUUUCAUACAUUUGUAAUACAGUUAGAUUAUUUUGUCAUACCUGAAUUCCAUCCUGGGAUCCCCCUAAUCUCCAAAAAAAUUUUUUAUUUGUAUAUGUUUUAAAAAAGGAAAUAAUGUUAGUGAUUAUAUAUCUCUUUUCGUAUCCCAGCGUGACUCCAAGGCAGACGAGCCCACUUGUUCACAAACCCUCUCAAAGUCAGCAGGGACUUUAAUGGUGCUUCUUGGACUUGGGACCAGGAAUUUUUUGCUGUAUUUUCCUUAAGAAGAUGCUUAGUCUUACAAAGGAAGAAGUGAAAGUUUCAAAACUUUAUUAAAAUAUGUUAGGGUAAAGUUGGUGUCCAUGUCACAACUCUGGAGUGACUUUCGCUUCUCCAUCUUUCUUCAGACACCUGCCUCGUUCUGCUCUCGGUCCAUGGUCCACUCCUUCCUUACUCUGUUACCACACUGAUUUUGCCGUAUCUUUUAUUUUAUCCCCUAAUAAAACUAUUUGACACCAAGUUGGCUAAAUAUGAACCUCAUUUGUUUCCUUAAAGUAAUACUCACAUAUGCUAAGUUCUCUCAUUUUCUGAUGACCAAGUGUGAAGAAAAUUGUAAUUAUUUUGGUCUUCUCUAUGCAGGGGUUAAAUGGAAUAAACUCAUCUUACUAGCAUAGAAAGUUUUGGAAGCUGUGCUUUUGAUCUAAGUAUUCUCAAUAAAAGCACCUUUUUAUCCUCCAAAAAAAAUUUUUCUUUGCAGCCAGUAAGGUUCACUGCGCUGUGAAGUUCUCCUCUUCACUCAGGGAGCUGGAGCACAACUCCCUGUCCUAUUAAGUAUGACCUGCAAACAGUGACUUCCUGCCAAAGAGAGUGGGAUGGGAGGAGUGGGGAGGAGCAUGAUUCUACAGUGGGAAACCUGACAAAGGGACCUCAGCCAUGCGAUAAGGGCAACACCAUCAGUCUGAAGCUAUAUUGAUGGUACAUAUCCUUGAUAUGAUAUGAUGAGAAUGAUGAUUUACCUCUGUGAUCUUCCUCCCCCAAAUCCAUAACCCCAGUCUAAUCAUGAGGAAAACAUCCAAAAAACCCCAAUGGAGGGACAGUCUACAAAAUAUCUGACCAAAUUGUCCUCCAGACUCUCAAAGUCAUGAAAAACAAGGAAUGUCUGAGAAACUGUCAUAGUCUUAAAUAGCCUAAGGAGAGAAGAUAACUAAAUGUAAUGUGGUAUCCUGUAUGGGAUCCUGGAACAGAAAAAGGACCCUAGGUAAAGCUAUGGAUAUCUGAAUACAGUAUGGACUUCAGUUAAUAAUAAUGUGUUAAUAUUGGUUCGUUAAUGGUAACAAAUGUACCAUACUGAUGUUAACAAUAUGGGAAGCUAGGUGUAGAGUGCAUGGGACCUAUCUUCUUUUUUUUUCUCCCCAAAUCGCCCCCGUACAUAGUUGUAUAUUUUAGUUGUGGGUCCUUCUAGUUGUGGCGUGUGGGACGCCGCCUCAGCACCGCCUGAUGAGCGGUGCCAUGUCCGCCCAGGAUCUGAACCAGCGAAACCCUGGGCUGCUGAAGCAGAGCGUGCAAACUUAACCACUCAGUCACGGGGCCUGCCCCUGGACUUAUCUUUUUAACUUUUCUAUAACUCUAAAAAUCUUCUAAAAUAAAAUGUUUAUUUUAAAAAACAAAAAAUAAAACAAAAAAUAGAUCUAAUGCCUUAAGGAAAAAAGGACUUGCAAACUUGAGAGAAAGAGACUGCUGGGGAUUUUGCUUCAUUUGGUUUAUAAAAUAUAUUUUUCCUACUAAGAAAUCUUGUAGGGUUUUUUGACUUGGUUUUUUUAAAUUUAAAAGUAGGGCACUGCCUACGAAUGUAGCAAGUAGGAAUGGCCCAGAGGAACUCAUCUCUGAAGAUGCGUUUAGAUUGGGUUUCUUGUGUUGAGAAUGAACUGAUGACCCAAAAACCUUAUUUCCAACACUAACCAGCAUCUAUUAAACAGAAAAUUGUUUUAUUCUGGAACACUGUCUGGGUCCCAUAGUCAGUAAUUGGGGUGUAAGUUCACAUCCACUUCUUUUGGUGUGAUUGCUUUAGAACACAUUAGACUAUGAUUUUUUGAGGGAAAACUGUGGAGUACUCAACUCUAUUGUGUGCUCAAAACCUACACAAAAGGGUUUUUUUCCUUGUUGUGAUAAAAUAUACAAAUUUGCCAUUUUAACCAUUGUUAAGUAUACAAGUCAGGGACAUUAAUUACAUUCACAAUGUAGUGAAACCAUCACCACUAUCUAUUUCCAAAAAUUUUCCAUUAGAACAGAAACUCUGUAUCCAUUACACAGUAACUUCCCAUUCCUCCCUUCUCUCAGCCCCUGGUAACCCCUGAUCUACUGUCUGUCUCUAUGAAUUUGCCUGUCCUCGUCACUUUGUGUAAGUGGAGUCGUACAGUAUUUGUGCUUUUGUGUCUAGCUUAUUUCACUUAGCCAAAUGCUUUCAAGGUUUAUCCACGUUGUAGCGUGUGUCAGAGCUUCAUGCCUUUUUAUGGCUGAAAAAUAUUCUAUUGCAUGUAUAUCCUGCAUCUUGUUUAUCCAUUCAUGUGUUGGUGGACACGUGGGUUAUUCCCAUCUUUUGGCUAUUCUAUACAAUAGGUAUUAUAAGUGUAGGUCUUUUUAAAGAGAAAAAAAAGUUGUUGAACAUUCCUGGAAUGUAAAACUUGGCUCAAACAUAGUUAGCAUCAGUGCCUACCAUUUGAUGCUAAAUGAUAAGGAAAUGCUCUAGAAAUGAAUCAGUGAAUGUUGUGUCACAGGCAUCAUCAGAGGUGGCUCUUGAAGUCCCAAGCCAAGGUCACAGCUGAAUGGUAGCAUUCUUCUAGAAAGGCUUGCUUCCUUUGUUUGUUCAUUUAUGUUUGGUUUUGUUUUCACACAAAUCCUUUAAAUACUAUGCCCUUGUCUUGCUCCCUUUUCUUUCUCGCUUUUGUCAUGACUAUAUUCUCAUUAAUAAACUCGGCUAAUUCACAUUUCAACUGAUGUAUGUUGAUUAUUAACUAGCUUACAAACCACCAGCAUAGUUUAUAAAUCGAAUUCUCCUGGCUGGCAUAAUUAACCAGGCUGUACAUACGACGGGAACACGAGCUUGAGGAGUUGCCAUUGGUGGAAUUUACCUGUGGAAUUUGCGUACCCAAAAUGCACCUCCUCUUUCCCUAAAGUAGAUUUGCAGGAUUCUCUCUCGUUAGCAAUAUUACUAUUUACCUAGUCACCAAGGAAUUACUCCUGACUCCUUCCUCUUUCUUCCUCCCUACCAUAACUGCUUCAGAUUUUGCCUUGUGUCCGUAUUUAUCAACUCAUCUCCUACUCUCUCGUCCUCUAGCCCUGCUUGCACAGUUAUGACGGAAGCCCUCAUUGCUCCUGGAAUACUUCCUGGAGACUCAGACAAGAAGGGUCACUCCCCCGGGUGCUGUGCUAUGGAGGGACCAGCAAAUCAGAAACACAAAAAAUUGUUGAAGGACACGCGGUGACUCUGUUCAGCAGGACGUGGUGCUCAGCACUGAAUAGUCAACCCAGAACCCCAGACGUCCACUCUCAUGACUGACAGUGUUCAAGCCCCAGGGAAACGCUUCCCCGAAUCUCUUCUGCACACCUCUUCCCUAGAUCCCCAAACAAAAGGCAACUCCCCGAGAGCUACUAAACUUGGGGCUUGUGUCAUUACUCAUGUAUGAGAAAAACACAACUUCCUUCACAUUGCCGAGGAAUUUCAGUGGGCAAGGGUUAAGGAAAGACAUAUGAAGAAGCUUGCUAUUCUGGGCUGAGUUGUGUCUUCCCAAAAUUCCUAUGUUGAAGACUAGUGCUUCAGAAUGUGACUGUAUUUGGAGACAAAGUCUUUAAAGAGGUAAUUAAGUUAAAAUGAGGUCACUGGUGGGCCCUAAUCCAGUACAAUCGGUGUCCCUAGAAGAAGAAAAGAUGAGGACACAGAUACACACAGAGGGAAGACUGUGAAGACAUGGGGAGAAGAUGGUUGUCCACGAGCAAGGAGAGAGGCCUCAGAGGGAACCAGCUCUGCUAAGACCUUAAUCUUGGACUUCUGGCCUCCAGAACUGUGAGGAAAUAAAUUUCUGUUGUUGAAGCCCCCAGUCUGCGGCAUUUUGCUGCGGCGGCUCCAGCAAGCCGACACACUUGCCGAAGUUCUUCCCCUCACACACUUCCCAGUACUGCCCUUUUCUUUCUUCUCUUUGCAUUCCAAUUUACGGUUCCUGUAGCACCUUCAGAUGCUGGCCCUCGGCCUGUACUUUAAAGGGCUCUACCCUGGUCCUCCCUUGACUGUGCCCUUCCUCGCAGGCCUAGGACAGAGGGCCCAGGUGUGCCCACCUGAAGCUUGCGUCUCCUCCCACCCCAGAAUUCCCUGUUCAAAUAGCCCUGAGCCCAUUACCAGCGACCGUGGUGGCCUCCUUCUCGCCCUGCUGCACACCCUUAAGCUGGAGAGCUGCCCAAGGGUUGCCAUCUAUAGUCAGAUCUUGGACAUGUAGACUACAGUAUAUACAUGCAAGUGUGCAAGACCCACGUGGGCUGGGCUGGAGCUGGAAGGUGGCAAGAGAAGGGGUGAAGUGUGGGGCUGGAGGCUGGAGUGCUGUGACUUUCUGACAUGGUUCUUCGAGAAGCUUAAUUUGAACUUGACCUUCCAUGUCCUUAUGAAGGUAUAUUCAGGGGCUGGCCCGAUGGCAUAGAGGUUAAGUUCACGUGCUCCACUUUGGGCCUGGGGUUCACCGGUUUGGAUCGCAGGAGUGGAUCUAGCACACUUGUCAAGCCACACUGCAGCGGCAUCCCACAUAAAGUAGAGGAAGAUGUGCACAGAUGUUUGCCCAGUGACAAUCUUUCUCAAGCAAAAGGAGGAAGAUGGGAAGAUGUUAGCUCAGGGCCAAUCUUCCUCCCCCGAAGAAAACCCAGAAGGUAUAUUCAUCAAGAUCAGGGAAUAGAACACAUUUUAUUUUAUGCUUUGUUAGUGUGAUUUACAACCUUUAUAUAUUUAGACACGUGCUACAUGGGUCUUCACAUCUUGCUUCAAACCCCACAAAUGCUAGGAGUACGCUUGGUGGUUCUGGAAGACUCAUGAAUUACAGCAAUAUUUGCCACUGCUGCAUGUGGAGACUGGCGAAUGUUUCACAAUAUUAAAGAAUUCACAUUACUCUUAAAUUUGUAUACGUAUAUAGGUCUAGACAUAACGUGUGAUAUCAACUUUAAUAUUAGCAAUGAGGAGGAUAUUAAAAUUAAAAUUGUAAAUACUUGUGUUUUUAUAAACAUUUAAUAUGAGUUCAUUAAAUAUUUUAAAACCUCAACAAAAAUUUUAGUUGGUUUAAAUAAUUUUGAUUUUAAC
rnacentral:lncRNA from 1 species